rnacentral:rRNA from 1 species
UACGGGGGGGGUAGCGUUGUUCGGAAUUACUGGGCGUAAAGGGCGCGUAGGCGGCCAGCACAAGUCAGUUGUGAAAUCUCCGGGCUUAACUCGGAACGGUCAAGUGAUACUGUCGUGCUAGAGUACAGAAGGGGCAACUGGAAUUCUCGGUGUAGCGGUGAAAUGCGUAGAUAUCGAGAGGAACACCUGCGGCGAAGGCGGGUUGCUGGGCUGAUACUGACGCUGAGGCGCGAAAGCUAGGGGAGCGAACGGG